CGACCCCUUACUCUAAUCAGAGAACCAAGGUUACAUCCGUAAACAAACGUUUUCGCGACACAGACAUUGUUUUUAUCCAUACAAUGCCUCCUGUGAAAACAUUUACCGGUGAAAGGGCCAGCCCUGACCCUACCUUUCUCCCUCAAGCAACCCCAACCAAUCAACCCGAACCCCCACUCUGGCCUAUCCAUGUCAUCCUGCUUUUCGCCUCCCCUCAGGAUACUCUACCCACCCCAACCCCUCAGAAACCUGCCAACCCCCACCACACCUUCUCCCCACAAUCAACCCCCAACCACUACUCCGGCCUUUCCAAGACACCCCGCUCUUCUCCUCUUCUCUGAAUACUCUACCCACCCCAGCCUCUCAGAACCCUGCCAGCCCCGCGCCCCGCUCCACAAAACCCUGCCACAGUCCCUGCACAUCAGAGGACACAUUUUAGGGACCUGUAAAGUGUUCUUCCCCUUGGUUUUGGGCACCGUAAGAAAACGUAUAGGCUAUAUUAUUUUUAAAGCAAAUUAGUCUAUGCCCGUGGAGCAUAUAAAGGGGUAUAUAAGCUCUGAAUGACGAGUGUUAGCCCGCCGGAAUCCUUCAAAAAACGUUUGAGCCACUCCAGCUGGACAGAUGAGGAUGUUCUUUACAUUUACAUUUUAGUCAUUUAGCAGACGCUCUUAUCCAGAGCGACUUACAGUU